rnacentral:rRNA from 1 species
ACCCUACUGCUAUUGGGGCAAGACUAAAACAUGCAAGUUGAACGUUUCGAACUAUGGCGAAACGUAGCGGACGGCUCAGUAACACGUGGCUAACCUGCCCUUGAGACGAGUAUAAUCCCGGGAAACUGGGGCUAAUACGCGAUAGGUGAAGAUGCCUGGAAUGGUUCAUCAUCUAAAGGACUUUGAGACCAUGUUUCACAGUGUCGCUCAAGGAUGGGGCCGCGGCCGAUCAGGUAGUUGGUGAGGUAACUGCUCACCAAGCCUUUGACCGGUACGGGCCGUGAGAGCGGGAGCCCGGAGAUGGGCACUGAGAUAAGGGCCCAGGCCCUAUGGGGCGCAGCAGUUGCGAAACCUCCGCAAUGCGCGAAAGCGUGACGGGGUUACCCCAAGUGCCAUCCGCUGAGGACGGCUUUUCUUUGGUGUAAUGAGCCAAAGGAAUAAGGGGAGGGCAAGACUGGUGUCAGCCGCCGCGGUAAUACCAGCUCCCCGAGUGGUAGGGACAAUUAUUGGGCUUAAAGCGUCCGUAGCCGGCCUGGCAAGUCUUUCGUUAAAUCCAGCGACUUAAUCGUUGGGCUGCGGGAGAUACUGUCGGGCUAGGGGACGGGAGAGGCCGAUGGUAUUCUUGGGGUAGGGGUGAAAUCCUAUAAUNCCAGGAGGACCACCAGUGGCGAAGGCGAUCGGCUAGAACGCGCUCGACGGUGAUGGACGAAAGCUGGGGGAGCGAACCGGAUUAGAUACCCGGGUAGUCCCAGCUGUAAACGAUGCGAGCUAGGUGUUGGGGUGGUUACGANCCGCUUCAGUGCCGUAGGGAAACUGUUAAGCUCGCCGUCUGGGAAGUACGGUCGCAAGGCUGAAACUUAAAGGAAUUGGCGGGGGAGCACUACAAGGCGUGAAGCUUGCGGUUCAAUUGGAGUCAACGCCGGGAACCUUACCGGAGGCGACAGCUGAAUGAUGGCCAGAUUGAAGGUCUUGCUAGACUAGCUGAGAGGUGGUGCAUGGCCGUCGCCAGUUCGUGCCGUGAGGUAUCCUGUUACCCCCAGGUAACGAUCGAGAUCCGCACCCCUAGUUGCCAUCGGGUCCCGUUGGGAUCCAGGUACAAUAGGGGGACUGCCAUCGAUAAGAUGGAGGAAGGGGCGGGCCACGGCAGGUCAGUAUGCCCCGAAUCCUCCGGGCUACACGCGAGCUGCAAUGGUGGGGACAGAGAGUCUCAACCUCGAAAGAGGACGGCAAUCUCCAAACCCCAUCUCAGUUGGGAUCGAGGGCUGAAACUCGCCCUCGUGAACAUGGAAUGCCUAGUAACCGCGUGUCAUCACCGCGCGGUGAAUACGUCCCUGCUCCUUGCACACACCGCCCGUCGCUCCAGCCGAGUGAAGUUUGGAUGAGGCGCAGUCUUAUUGUCUGUGUCGAAUCUAGGUUUUGCAAGGGGGGAG